rnacentral:rRNA from 1 species
CCUACGGGAGGCAGCAGUGGGGAAUUUUGGACAAUGGGCGCAAGCCUGAUCCAGCAAUGCCGCGUGAGUGAAGAAGGCCUUCGGGUUGUAAAGCUCUUUUGUCAGGGAAGAAACGGUGAAGGCUAAUAUCUUUUGCUAAUGACGGUACCUGAAGAAUAAGCACCGGCUAACUACGUGCCAGCAGCCGCGGUAAUACGUAGGGUGCAAGCGUUAAUCGGAAUUACUGGGCGUAAAGCGUGCGCAGGCGGUUUUGUAAGUUUGUCGUGAAAUCCCCGGGCUCAACCUGGGAAUGGCGAUGAAGACUGCAAGGCUAGAAUCUGGCAGAGGGGGGUAGAAUUCCACGUGUAGCAGUGAAAUGCGUAGAGAUGUGGAGGAACACCGAUGGCGAAGGCAGCCCCCUGGGUCAAGAUUGACGCUCAUGCACGAAAGCGUGGGGAGCAAACAGGAUUAGAUACCCUGGUAGUCCACGCCCUAAACGAUGUCUACUAGUUGUCGGGUUUUAAUUAACUUGGUAACGCAGCUAACGCGUGAAGUAGACCGCCUGGGGAUACGGUGCAGNUUAAAACNCAAAUGAAUUGACGGCNGAGAGNGCGAGACGACGACGAGGGAGGAGG